rnacentral:rRNA from 1 species
AUUGAACGCUAGCGGGAUGCUUUACACAUGCAAGUCGAACGAGUGGCGGACGGGUGAGUAAUAUAUCAGAACGUGCCCAGUAGCGGGGGAUAACUACUCGAAAGGGUGGCUAAUACCGCUUACUAUUGGAGCGGGCGAUAUGGGAUUAGCUAGUGGGUGGGGUAAAGGCUCACCAAGGCAACGAUCCGUAGACGGUGUGAGAGGACGACCAGCCACACGGGGACUGAGACACGGCCAAGCCGCCUACGGGAGGCAGCAGUGGGGAAUUUUGGACAAUGGGGGAAACCCUGAUCCAGCCAUCCCGCGUGUAUGAGAAGGCCUUCGGGUUUUAAAGUACUUUUGGCAGAGAAGCGGUAUCUGCAGAAUAAGCACCGGCUAACUACGUGCCAGCAGCCGCGGUAAUUC